GGUAGGGUGUCGUAUCCUAUUCUGUAGGGUUUACUGUACGCGGGUUUAAGUAUAGCCACUCAUUCAUACAUAUGGACGUACAUAUGUAAAUUUAUAGGGUACUAAAUCACCUGAUAGGGCAAUCGAAAGCCUGCCGAUAAAGCUUUUGAAAAUUGAUUAUUUUCUAUGUACAUACAUAUGCACAUUUACGAAGUGUAUUGUGGGUGAGUUGGAGACUCGAGGAGGCAGUGCUAAUAGUUUGUUUACUUUAGAGUAAAGAGAGAGAGAGAGUGAGAGAGAGCGCUGCUGUCGUGAGAACAGGGUAGAUAGCACCUGCAAUCUUGCAUUCCUAGACAUUUCUGUGCAUCUAUGUACAUAUGUAUGUAUGUUUUUAUUAACAGAGAUAUGCACAUUGUGUAAGCUGCACAUAUUAUCAUUUCGAUCAUAUGGGGUAUCGAACAAACUCGCUCUCACUCAACUAAGAGAAAUAUUAAAUACGCACAACAAGGUUCAACACUGGUGAGGCGAGUAUCUCGUUUUUACCGCGGAAAGUAGAAAAUUAGCUUAUUUCGUGAAAUAGAGCCUAAACUCGCUUAUAAUAAGCAAAAACCCGAUCACCCGUGGUUACCCCACAUCCUGAUAAAGACGGCGGGACAAAAGUGGCAGUAGAUCCGCAUUUUUACCGGAUAACCUUGCCUCUCGGCAAUGGCGGCCCAGCAAAGCCAGUAACACGGAAGCUAGUGCAGCGUAAUCCGGAACCAUGGCUGGCAUAGGAAGGACCAGGAUGGGCACGGAGAAGGCCACAGGAUCAAGGAUCCUAGUGGAGACGCGAAAAAAGAGGGAAGGAGACCGGGCGGGAAAAACAACAGCUACGACGUUAAAAACCACCUUGAAAGAGAAAGAGACGAAAAACAAAACUACCAAAACAAUUACAAGUGAGAAAGGGAAAGCGGAUGUGGAUGUUUGUCAGACGUCCGUGAGUACAAGAUCAACAACGACAACUAACAACAACAACAACAAAAACAACAACAACAAAAACGUCAACAACAAAUACUACGAGGGCCACAAAGGCCCUUUUGUAGUGUAUAUAGAUAAACUAAGCGAUAAUAAUUCCAGGAUCGCAAUUAACCAGUUCGAGCUAUCCGAACUUUUGAUAAAACUGGGACUUGGCGGUAUAGAGGAGGUCGCGAGGGUAGGCUAUGGCAGGUGCAAGAUUUUAUGUAGGUCGGCUGACGGUGCAAACAAACUUGUGGAAAACAGUGCCUUCGCCGCCCACGGGUACUCUCCCCGGAUUUUGCGGCACUUUGUGCAAAGGGCGGGUCUAAUCUUUGGGAUCCCUGGCCACCACUCGGAGGAGCAGCUCUCGGAGCUGAUCAUCUCGGACGUCCCCAUAGAGGGAAUACAACGGAUUUCCAGAACAGACAGAACCUCGGGGGAUAGGGUACCCACCGGCAGGGUCAAACUAUGGUUUAGAGGGGAGCAGCUGCCCAAGGAAAUCAAGUUCCUAUACACCCAGGUAGCAGUAAAACCUUUCGUCCAGUUUAGCCAAUGCUUCAAGCUAAGGCAGCUGCCAACAUGGCAGAAUGGAGGAACUCUAUCAACGCAGAUAGCCCUCAGUUAAGUGAAAAAUUCGUGAGAACAACGUCCGGGGUCUCAUCUGUGGCCCAGGAAAAGCUUAACGCACUGGGAUCCAUGCUUACAGCGUUCCUGGUGGAACCCAUUGGUGGAACAUUUCCAAGGGGGAAUUGGUGAAGAAGUUUUUCCAACAGAUCUUGGAGUAUGUGUAUGACUCCUCCAAUGCUGAACUCGACCCAGGUUUUGCAAAUUGUGCAAGGGGUGGAAGCGGGAUACUCUAACAAAAAACAAUGAAGAUUCUACAACUAAACAUUCAAAGUCUGACUUACAACAACAACAAACAGCUCCUCAAUAUGUUUCUAAUAAACAACGAAAUAGACAUUGCAAUCCUUUCGGAGAUCUGGGUUGUAAAUAAUGCGGACUGGAGUAUCUUAGAUUACAACUUCAUCGGCAAGCCCAGAGAAGACGGCUACGGCGGAGUAGGAAUCUAUAUUAGAAAGAAAAUUAGAUUUAGCAUUCUGAAAAUAGACUGUGAUCUGGAGAUCGUAGGUAUUAAGACCCUGAAACUAAACCAAAAACAACCUCAACAUUUUCAGCGCAUACACUUUCCCAAUUCAAAUCGGGCAUUAAAAAGGUGUUCGAGCUUGCGGAGUCCCUAGACUACCCUUCAGUCGUAGGAGGAGAUUUCAACGCCAAGUCUUCCAACUGGGGAAACCCUUCCAGUGACCGCAAGGGUCGCAGCAUCGAGAAUGCUACUCGUGAGGCAGACAGAUAAAAUCUGUCUUAACGACGGAUCUCCAACGUUUUCCAGGAACCCUUCCCAAUUCUCUGUUCUUGACCUCACCUUUUCUAAUCACAGGGUCGGUAGUACAUGAGUAAAACUGUAACAAGUUACAUAUCUCGAGGUGGCGAUUUCCACCUUGCAAAGGCGGGCGGCCAAAUAAUCCCCCUCUACCCAAGGGUAGAGCGGUAACAUAAAAACUCAAACAAAAAAAAAAAAAUAUGCACUAUACUAUCGAGUAUAACAUUAGGGAUGUAAUAGAAUACAAUUUGCUCCUUAUUAACUCGUUCUGUUGCAGAGAUUGCAGAUGAAUGUACCGGAACCCAUAAAGAUUCAUUCCUGUUUACUGGUCCUUCUGAUCAUUAUUUUGAUCUUUAUGUUUUAUUGGGAUAUAGAUAGAGCUUUUUGUGUGUACUGUGGGUGCAUUUAUCUUCACAGUAUAUUGGGAGAAUAGAUAAAAACAGAAGCUUCAAUAUAUCAAAUAUCGAAUGUAUUAAUCAGAAUUGGACGACUAUAUGCUAUACAGGCAUGGGCCAUUGGAACGAUA
rnacentral:lncRNA from 1 species